rnacentral:rRNA from 1 species
GAUUAACGCUGGCGGCGUGCAUAACACAUGCAAGUCGAACGAUGAAACUUAAAUGAUUUCUUCGGAAUGAACUUAAGUGGAUUAGUGGCGGACGGGUGAGUAACGCGUGAGUAACCUGCCUUACACAAGGGGAUAGCCGUUGGAAACGACGAAUAAUACCCUAUGAUGUUUCUAUCACGCAUGAGAUAUUAACCAAAGUGUUAGCGGUGUAAGAUGGACUUGCGUCUGAUUAGCUAGUUGGUGAGAAAAAAGCCCACCAAGGCAACGAUCAGUAGCCGGCUUGAGAGAGUGUACGGCCACAUUGGGACUGAGACACGGCCCAGACUCCUACGGGAGGCAGCAGUGGGGAAUUUUGUACAAUGGGGGAAAUCCUGAUGCAGCGACGCCGCGUGAUUUAGAAGGCCUUCGGGUUGUAAAAAUCUUUUGUAUAGGAAGAAAAUGACAGUACUAUACGAAUAAGGUCCGGCUAAUUACGUG